AUAAACUUUAGCGGAAUAAUGCGCACCAAUGCUAUCGAAGAUGGUCCUGCAGAAAACAGAAACCCCUUCCAAAAACCAUUCUCUCCGGAAUAAACAGCGUGGAGCCAUACUCUAGAGAUGACCAACGGCCAGCAGCAGCGGCUGGAAUCUGCCCUUGGAACUCAGGCCAGGACGGUCUUAGGGGGCUGGAUGAAGCCUGUUUCCUACAAACAAGAAGUGGGGGACAUGGAAUGGGUUUGUGCUCAGGAGGCCCCCGCAGAGUCCUGCUCAGUCUCCCCGCCCCCACCUUGGGAGGCAUCUCCGUCUUGAGGAGAACAGGUGUUAGCGCAGAGCAGCUGUGGAGAGCACUGCCGACUCCCCUGCAUGUCUGCCUCGCUCCUGCCUGCACACUGCAACUGCUCCUGUCUAAAAACAGACACCCACUGCUGGUGGGAAUGUAAGCUGGUACAACCACUAUG